rnacentral:rRNA from 1 species
GAUGAACGCUAGCUACAGGCUUAACACAUGCAAGUCGAGGGGCAGCAUGACCUAGCAAUAGGUUGAUGGCGACCGGCGCACGGGUGAGUAACACGUAUCCAACCUACCGGUUAUUCCGGGAUAGCCUUUCGAAAGAAAGAUUAAUACCGGAUAGUAUAACGAGAAGGCAUCUUCUUGUUAUUAAAGAAUUUCGAUAACCGAUGGGGAUGCGUUCCAUUAGUUUGUUGGCGGGGUAACGGCCCACCAAGACAUCGAUGGAUAGGGGUUCUGAGAGGAAGGUCCCCCACAUUGGAACUGAGACACGGUCCAAACUCCUACGGGAGGCAGCAGUGAGGAAUAUUGGUCAAUGGACGAGAGUCUGAACCAGCCAAGUAGCGUGAAGGAUGACUGCCCUAUGGGUUGUAAACUUCUUUUAUAUGGGAAUAAAGUGAGCCACGUGU